AGUGAACGCUGGCGGCGUGCCUAACACAUGCAAGUCGAACGAUGAUGGAGAGCUUGCUCUCCUGAUUAGUGGCGCACGGGUGAGUAUACCAUAGAUAAUGUACCUCUUAGUUCGGGAUAGCCACUGGAAACGGUGAUUAAUACCGGAUACUCCUUCUUGUCUUAAGGCGAGUCGGGAAAGUUUUUUCGCUAAGAGAUCUGUCUAUGUCCUAUCUGUUAGUUGGUGAGGUAAUGGCGCACCAAGGCUAUGACGGAUAUCUGGUUUGAGAGGAUGAUCAGACACAAGGGAACUGAGACACGGUCCAGACUCCUACGGGAGGCAGCAGUGAGGAAUAUUGCACAAUGGAGGAAACUCUGAUGCAGCAACGCCGCGUGGAGGAUGACGCAUUUCGGUGUGUAAACUCCUUUUAAGAGGGAAGAUUAUGACGGUACCUCUUGAAUAAGCACCGGCUAGCUCCGUGCCAGCAGCCGCCGUAA
rnacentral:rRNA from 1 species